UACGGAGGAUGCGAGCGUUAUCCGGAUUUAUUGGGUUUAAAGGGUGCGUAGGCGGCUUUUUAAGUCAGCGGUGAAAUUUUGCAGCUUAACUGUAACAGUGCCGUUGAUACUGGGGAGCUAGGAUUUGGUUGCUGUGGGUGGAAUGUGUGGUGUAGCGGUAAAAUGCUUAGAGAUCACACAGAAUAUCGAUUGCGAAGGCAGCUCACAAAGCCAAGAUUGACGCUGAGGCACGAAAGUGUGGGGAUCAAACAGGAUUAGA
rnacentral:rRNA from 1 species